AUGACGACACAGCCCAUCAACACGUUAAGUUGGAAUGUUCGCGGUCUAAACAACCCGGCGCGGAGGUCAACUGUUAGUGCGACGAUUGCAGCCUCCUCAUGCCAGCUUGUAUGUUUGCAAGAGACUAAGCUUGGCUGCGUUGAUAAAUUCGUUGCUGCCUUCCUUGGUGGUAAUAGGCUUCAAGGCUUUGCGCAACGCCCGGCUCUGGGGACUAGGGGAGGGAUUCUGCUACUUUGGGAUGGCACGGUCCUCGACGUCUCCGAUAUCACUGCAUCGACCUAUUGCCUCUCUGGUACGGUUCGUGCCCGUGCGACUGACGUCUGUUUUAGGGUCACCUCCGUUUAUGGGCCAACUGACCACGCCUGCAAAGAUGCGUUUUUUGCCGAGCUUAUCUCCCACAAGCCUCCUAAUGGGACUGCAUGGCUGGCCCUUGGGGAUUUCAACCAAAUUUUCCGUGCACGUGACAAAAACAAGAGAAUCUUCAACCGGCGUAGGAUCAAUCGCUUUCGGGCUGCGUUACAAUCUUGUGAGCUCAAGGAAAUUCACCUCCAGAAUUGGCGCUUCACCUAGAGCAACGAGCGGGACAACCCAAAUCUCUGCAAGCUUGACUCCUUCUUCUGUAACGCGGAGUGGGAUAUGACCUUCAGCACCCAUGUCCUACAUGCUCUGUCAUCUUCACUUUCCGACCAUUUCCCCCUGCUGCUUGCUGAUGAUAAAGGGCCCAGAAGGCCUCGAUCCUUCAAGUUUGAAAACUUCUGGGCUUCUUUGCCUGGCUUCUCCGAGGUAGUGCAAAAGGCCUGGGACGAGCGAGUCGGGCACUCGGAGCCGUAUCAAGUGUUGUACCAUAAGCUAAAAAAACUGAUCCGACUAUCUGAGUGGAGCAAGAACUUGUUCUCCAAGGCUAAGGUUCAGCUCCAUGCGGCCCUGCUUGUGAUUCUC
rnacentral:rRNA from 1 species